CACGUAGGGGGCGAGCGUUGUCCGGAUUUAUUGGGCGUAAAGAGCUCGUAGGCGGCUCGGUAAGUCAGGUGUGAAAACUCUAGGCUCAACCUAGAGACGCCACCUGAUACUGCCGUGGCUAGAGUCCGGUAGGGGAGCAUGGAAUUCCUGGUGUAGCGGUGGAAUGCGCAGAUAUCAGGAGGAACACCGAUGGCGAAGGCAGAUCUCUGGGCCGUAACUGACGCUGAGGAGCGAAAGCAUGGGGAGCGAACAGG
rnacentral:rRNA from 1 species